AGGGACUUCAAGAGGUCAUCCAGUCCAUCCCCCAAGACUGAAGCAGGAUUAAGUAAGCUGAGACCAUCCCUGACAGGAGUUUCUUAAACCUACAAAGACAGGGAUUCAACAAUCUGUCAAGGAUCUUCUGCUCCUGAGAAGGAAACCAUUCCACCAGGAGGGCAGGAGCAGCCCCCCAGAGACAGCAGAGGCAGAUAGAGAAGGACACUGGAAGAGCUGCUCAUUGGCAUGGACAGGAGGAAAAGUUUGAGUUCCUCUGGGCAUCGGAGGAGUGGACUCUUCAGCAGGAAAUGACACUGAUGAACUGGUUCAUGGAGCAGGAGGCAGGCCUAAGGGCAAAGCUGACAGAAUGAGUCGCCAAAUGAAUUCAGGGACACUGAUCCUGUCCAUCGCCGCCACCUCCUCUGGCUGCCAACCAGGGUGCUGCUGAGUCAGAGGAUCUUCGUUUUGGCAUCCCUCCCUCCAAGUGACCAGGUGGAGGACAUGGAGCCUGCACAAUUCCUAGGAUCACACCCACCACUGGUACCCAAAACCUGUCCCAGGGGGACCCUCCUGAGCAUCCAGGAGGGGAAUGAUGAGCCUGCAAAAGUCCUGGAAACCCACCAAGUGCCUCCCAAAAAUCAGUGCUGGAGAUGUUCCCGGUUGUCCCCAAGAACAUUUCCCCUACAUCAUUCCCCCUUGUCAGAGGAGGGCAAGAAGAUGGAUACUGAGACAUUAACAAUUGACCAGUGUUCACAGAUUCAUUCCCUUGAUGUUUUAAAUAUUGUUGGUUUACAUUUCUUUUUUAGUGUUUUAAUUACAUGUUCCAUCAAGUACUUUUAAUAAAUGUUAUAGUUUCCUUGA